UCCGUAGGUGGAUAAUUAAGUCAGAGGUGAAAUCCUGCAGCUCAACUGUAGAAUUGCCUUUGAAACUGGUUAUCUUGAGUUAUUAUGAAGUAGUUAGAAUAUGUAGUGUAGCGGUGAAAUGCAUAGAUAUUACAUAGAAUACCAAUUGCGAAGGCAGAUUACUAAUAAUCAACUGACACUGAUGGACGAAAGCGUGGGGAGCGAACAGGAUUAGAUACCCUGGUAGUCC
rnacentral:rRNA from 1 species